AAAGAUUCAAAGUCCAAGAUGGCAACCGUCAAGGACCAGCUGAUUGUGAAUCUUCUUAAAGAAGAACAGGUCCCCCCAAACAAGAUUACAGUUGUUGGGGCUGGUGCUGUCUUCUUAACGAAGGACUUGGCAGAUGAGCUUGCCAUUGGUGACGUCAUGGAAGACAAGCUAAAGGGCUAGAUGUCUUCCAUGACAGCAUGGAAGCCUCUUCCUUAAAACAGCAAAAACUGUCUCCAGCAAAGACUAUUGUGUGACUGCAAACUCCAAGCUGGUCAUUAUCACAGCGGGGGCCAGUCAGCAAGAGGGAGAGAGCAGACUCAGUCUGGUCCAGCGAAACGUGAACAUCUUUGUGAGUACAGUCCACACUGCAAGCUACUUAUUGUCUCAAAUCCAGUGGAUAUCUUGACCUACGUGGCUUGGAAAAUCAGUGGUUUUCCCAAAAGCCAAGUUAUUGGAAGUGGUUGCAAUCUGGAUUCAGCUUGGUUCCAUUACCUGAUGGGAGAAAGGCUGGGGUUCACCCGCUGAGCUGUCACAGCUGGGUCCUGGGAGAACAUGGAGACUCCAGUGUGCCUGUGUGGAGUGGCAUGAAUGUUGCUGGCGUCUCCCUGAAGUCUCUGAACUAGGCACUGAUGCAGACAAGGAGCAGUGGAAGGUGGUUCACACGCAGGUGAUGGACAGUGCGUACGAGGUGAUCAAGCUGAAAGGUUACACAUCCUGGGCCACUGGUCUCUCUGUGGCAGACUUGGCCGAGAGCAUAAUGAAGAACCUUAGGUGGGUGCAUCCCAUUUCCACCAUGAUUUAAGGGUCUCUAUGGAAUCGAUGAUGACCUCAGUGUCCUAUGUAUCCUGGGACAAAAUGGAAUCUCGGAUGUUGUGACAGUGACACUGACUCCUGAGGAAGAAGCCCGCCUGAAGAAGAGUGCAGACACCCUCUGGGGAAUCCAGAAGGAGCUGCAGUUCUAAAGUCUUCCCAGUGUCCUAGCACUUCACUGUCCAGGCUGCAGCAGGGUUUCUAGGGAGACCACACCCUUCUAGUCUGAGCUGUGGUCAGUACAGUGGUGUUGAGGUGAUGUGGGGAAACAUCUCAGUCCCACAGCUCUGCCCUGCUGCCAAGUGGUAGUUGUGUAGUGGUAACCUGGUUAGAGUGACAGUCCCACUGUCUCCAAGACACACUGCCAACUGUGCAGGCUUCCAUUACCACAAGAGCCUGCUGCAUUGAGGCC